rnacentral:rRNA from 1 species
AACAAUACAAGGCAGUUAAAAUGCUUUGUAAUUGGAAUGAUAGAAAUUUAAACCCCUUUUUAAAGUAUCAAUUGGAGGGCAAGUCUGGUGCCAGCAGCCGCGGUAAUUCCAGCUCCAAUAGCGUAUAUUAAAAUUGUUGCAGUUAAAAAGCUCGUAGUUGAAGUUCUGCURAAAGUAACCGGUCUGCUUUUAAUAAAAGUGGUAUCUUGGUGUGUAUUUAGCAAUGAUGUCCUUUGAAGUGUUUUUUACUUUAUUGUAAUAAAGCAUAUUCAGGACUUUUACUUUGAGAAAAUUAGAGUGUUUCUAGCAGGCUAACGCUUUGAAUACUGCAGCAUGGAAUAAUAAGAUAGGAUUUUAGUUCUACAUUAUUGGUUUUAAGAGCUAAAUUAAUGAUUGAUAGGGACAGUUGGGGGCAUUUGUAUUUAACUGUCAGAGGUGAAAUUCUUAGAUUUGUUAAAGACAAACUACUGCGAAAGCAUUUGCCAAAGAUGUUUUCAUUAAUCAAGAACGAAAGUUAGGGGAUCGAAGACGAUCAGAUACCGUCGUAGUCUUAACUAUAAACUAUGCCGACUAGAGAUUGGAGGUCGUCUUUAUAAAC